rnacentral:lncRNA from 1 species
CACAACAACAAGAAGAGUUCUUAAAAUAAAGAAGAAGAAAAAAAGGUGGGUUUUACAAAAAGGGGCAAAUAUUUGGUAGAGAAAGAGAGAUAAGGAGAGCAAGCGUCAAAAGGGGGUCUCACCAAAUUCCACCCCUCAAUUACUGGUACGUCCUUCCUUCUUUUCCCUGUGUCACAAAUUGACAAAUCUUUGAUUUCCCAUUUAUUUUUUUUGAAGAGAAGGGUCUGUAUAUCUGUUCAAAACUUGAGAAAAGUCUAGUCCUUCGCC